rnacentral:rRNA from 1 species
GAUGAACGCUAGCGGCAGGCUUAACACAUGCAAGUCGAGGGGUAACAGGAUAGCUUGCUAUUGCUGACGACCGGCGCACGGGUGCGUAACGCGUAUGCAACCUACCUUUAACAAAGGGAUAGCCCAGAGAAAUUUGGAUUAAUACCUUAUAAUAUUUUCAAUUCGAUUGAAUUGAUUCUUAAAGAUUUAUCGGUUAAAGAUGGGCAUGCGUGACAUUAGCUAGAUGGUAAGGUAACGGCUUACCAUGGCGACGAUGUCUAGGGGUUCUGAGAGGAAGAUCCCCCACACUGGUACUGAGACACGGACCAGACUCCUACGGGAGGCAGCAGUGAGGAAUAUUGGUCAAUGGACGCAAGUCUGAACCAGCCAUGCCGCGUGAAGGAUGACUGCCCUAUGGGUUGUAAACUUCUUUUAUAGAGGAAGAAACCUCUCUACGUGUAGAGAGCUGACGGUACUCUACGAAUAAGGACCGGCUAACUCCGUGCC